rnacentral:rRNA from 1 species
GCCUGAAUCAGUGUGUGUGUUAGUGGAAGCGUCUGGAAAGGCGCGCGAUACAGGGUGACAGCCCCGUACACAAAAAUGCACAUAUUGUGAGCUCGAUGAGUAGGGCGGGACACGUGGUAUCCUGUCUGAAUAUGGGGGGCCCAUCCUCCAAGGCUAAAUACUCCUGACUGACCGAUAGUGAACCAGUACCGUGAGGGAAAGGCGAAAAGAACCCCGG